GAAACCAUACUGAAAAAAAUAACUUUAUUUCAUACCGCUUCCGUUUCAUAUUAUAAGACUUUCUAGCCUUGCCCAAAUUCAUCAACUGAUGAAUAUAUAUAAUUUAUAUAUAUGUCUAUAUGAAUCUAGACAAGGCUAGAAAGUUUUGCACUGUGGAACGGAAAGAGUAAGCAAUAAUAUACCUUACAUUCAAAUAUAAAUGAAAAGACGGACAAAGAUUACGGAAGCAGCCAUUUGAACAGAGAAUUUUACCUCUCAUUGUGGACAAAGCUAGAAAGUCUAGGAGUUACAUGGCUCGGCAUGUCCAUAACU
rnacentral:lncRNA from 1 species